UUAGUGGCGAACGGGUGAGUAACGCGUUGGUGAUCUGCCUCAAAGUGUGGAAUAACGUUCCGAAAGGAACGCUAAUACCGCAUGUGCUCUCGAUUUUUAGAAAGUUGAGAGUAAAGGAUUUAUUCGCUUUGAGAGGAGCCUGCGUCCCAUCAGCUAGUUGGUAGGGUAAUAGCCUACCAAGGCUUUGACGGGUAGGGGACCUGAGAGGGUGGCCCCCCACAAUGGAACUGAAACACGGUCCAUACACCUACGGGUGGCAGCAGUAGGGAAUAUUAGAAAUGGACGAAAGUCUGAUCUAGCGACACCGCGUGUGCGAUGAAGGCCUUCGGGUUGUAAAGCACUUUUUGGAAGGAAUAGGAAGGAAGGUACUUCCAGAAUAAGUCUCGGCUAACUACGUGCCAGCAGC
rnacentral:rRNA from 1 species